GUUCCUACGGGGCGCAGCAGUGGGGAAUAUUGCACAAUGGGGGAAACCCUGAUGCAGCGACGCCGCGUGAGCGAAGAAGUAUUUCGGUAUGUAAAGCUCUAUCAGCAGGGAAGAAAAAUGACGGUACCUGAGUAAGAAGCACCGGCUAAAUACGUGCCAGCAGCCGCGGUACUACGUAGGGGGCAAGCGUUAUCCGGAUUUACUGGGUGUAAAGGGGGCGUAGGUGGCAGGGCAAGUCAGAUGUGAAAGCCCGGGGCUC
rnacentral:rRNA from 1 species